rnacentral:sRNA from 1 species
AGGUCCAGCACAGGCAGCAGCAAUGCAAGCUUCCAUACAUUGCUUAGCCAGACCAGUGCUGGAA